CAGGAAAGGCUUGGUGAGAAUAACGCAGACUGUGCCCAUGGAGCCUGGAGGAGCAGCAGAGAACGCAGAGAAGAGACCUCUGAAUGCUUUUGCUGUUUUCCGUAGGGAUGCCCUCAGAAACGGCCUUUAUUUUCUCUAAAUGACGGGAUGAUUUUCCUGUCUGUGAAGAUUGAGGACCAGAAGUGCUGUGUACUGCAGUCCCGUCCUUAUCCGCGGGCCAGACAUCAUAGCAGUCUGUCGUAUCGCUCUGCUGAGCCCGGACUCGGAGCUAAAGGGAACAAACUGAACAGCCCGUGAUGGAUUGACUUCUAUUAGAUUCUUCAGGCAUCACCAUCAGUGUGAACUCCAUUUAAGUAACACCGUCAGAGACUUAAUUUAUUAUAUAAUUGAUAAGAAAUAUCACCUACGAAGCCUAGACAAUGAAAGUGACUUCCACAGGAAAUAUUUUGCUAAGAGACAGCGACAUGGGAAUGCGCUGGAGGCAGAAAAUUGAGUUAUGGAAUAAAUAGGUCCCUGUGGUGACCAAGCUCUGGUCAGCGUGGCGGUGCAGGCAGGGGAGCGCUGGAGGCGCGGUGGGAACGGGCUGCGGGCAGUGCUCGGCCCCGCACGCUGCGUGCCCCGAGGUGAGGCAGAAGCGCAGCAGCAGCAGGGGCUGAUUUCUUGCCAGAUCCCAUCUUUUCUGGGAAAGAAUGAAGGUUUUACUUUUUUCUCGAGGGUUUUUAUGUUCCCAGCCUGUGAGCCUGGAAGGUAUCCCUGUUAUCCUGCCCUGCAGCGAUGCUGCCCUCUGUGCGCAUUUGCCCGCUAGCUAGCUGGGCUUGUUUUUAUACGUACCUGGUUAUUUUUCACUGCUGCAGCUUAUCUGGUGUGUA
rnacentral:lncRNA from 1 species